CUAGGUUAUUUCUCAACCUAACACUACCUACACAUGCUAGUCAGUAAUGUAAAGUGUGAAGCUGUAGGGACAAUGUAGCCUGUUUUAAAUAACAAUGCAAAUAUUAAAUUUAAUAUUUUCAGGAGC
rfam:Coccidioides immitis RMSCC 3703 supercont1.287 mitochondrial scaffold, whole genome shotgun sequence.